rnacentral:snRNA from 1 species
GCGCUUGCUUUAGCAGCACAUAUAUUAAAAAUUGGAAUGCUAGAGAGAAGCAUGGCCCCUGUACAAGGAUGACAUGCAAAUUCGUGAAGCAUUCCAUAUUUAA